AUUGAACGCUGGCGGCAUGCUUUACACAUGCAAGUCGAACGGCAGCGCGGGCUUCGGCCUGGCGGCGAGUGGCGAACGGGUGAGUAAUGCAUCGGAACGUGCCCAGUAGUGGGGGUAGGCCCGGCAAAGGCGGGUUUAUUCCCCCAACCGACCGGAGGGUGAAGGGGGGGGACCAAAAGCCCCGCGCUAUUUGGGCGGCCGAUGUCGGAUUAGCUAGUUGGUGGGGUAAAGGCUUACCAAGGCGACGAUCCGUAGCUGGUCUGAGAGGACGACCAGCCACACUGGGACUGAGACACGGCCCAGACUCCUACGGGAGGCAGCAGUGGGGAAUUUUGGACAAUGGGGGCAACCCUGAUCCAGCCAUGCCGCGUGCGGGAAGAAGGCCUUCGGGUUGUAAACCGCUUUUGUUCGGGAAGAAAUCCUCUGGGCUAAUACCCCGGGGGGAUGACGGUACCGGAAGAAUAAGCACCGGCUAACUACGUG
rnacentral:rRNA from 1 species